UACGAAGGGGGCUAGCGUUGCUCGGAAUCACUGGGCGUAAAGCGCACGUAGGCGGCUUUCUAAGUCAGGGGUGAAAUCCUGGAGCUCAACUCCAGAACUGCCUUUGAUACUGGAGAGCUUGAGUCCGGAAGAGGUGAGUGGAACUCCGAGUGUAGAGGUGAAAUUCGUAGAUAUUCGGAAGACCACCAGUGGCGAAGGCGGCUUGCCAGAACGCGCUCGACGGUGAGGGAUGAAAGCUGGGGGAGCAAACCGG
rnacentral:rRNA from 1 species